AUGGAAUAGGGUGCUUGUUGAAGUGUCAAUCAAUCUACUGGGACUGCUGCUAGUGCAUUAGCUUGGUGUUCUGCCAUGACCCAGCAGAGGGGAUCAUGUUGUAGAAAUAAGAUUCUACGUGUUGCUGCAAAGUUCUUCUCAUUUCUGCCCUCCUAAUUUCUUGCAUUGAUGUGGAUUCCUCGUGUGAUCACUAAGACAGCAGAAUUUUCCUUUCCACCUCCUAAGAAUUAAAAGUUCCUUCAGGCUCAGUCUGAGACACGGUGUGUAAUUACUCACGGGACACCUGGUGCUGGUUGUGACAGGCAGGCUGUAAGAGGACCUGAAGUGAGUCUUCCUCUUCUGGCCUGGCUCCAUCCUCUGCAAAUGCACGGUGUUAAUUUUGGGCUGGAUGAGGUCUUGUUGAUAGGCUGAGCUUUGGAUUUUCACCAGCUCUGUCUGCACAGAGAUAGCGUGGUUCAGUUCCAGCUCCUGGACUCCUAUUUGCAGCCCUGUGUGAUGGUUCGGUAAUCCUAGGAGCUAACAAUAAUAAUAUCAAGUGUCAUUACCAAUGGAUUUUUUAAUCAUCAUUAUAAUUCUUAUUCUGAAAAGCACUUAAAGCACGUUUUUAUCUUUCGUCAACAAUAAAAUGCAGCCUCAUAAAUAUUUAACUUGUCUG
rnacentral:lncRNA from 1 species